UACGUAGGACGCAAGCGUUAUCCGGAUUUAUUGGGUUUAAAGGGUGCGUAGGCGGGUUAGUAAGUCAGUGGUGAAAGACUGUUGCUUAACAAUAGCAUUGCCAUUGAUACUGCUGAUCUUGAGUAUAGUUGAGGUAGGCGGAAUGUGUAGUGUAGCGGUGAAAUGCUUAGAUAUUACACAGAACACCGAUUGCGAAGGCAGCUUACUAAGCUAAAACUGACGCUGAGGCACGAAAGCGUGGGGAUCAAACAGG
rnacentral:rRNA from 1 species